CAGUCGCCGCGGGAAUACAGAGGGUGCGAGCGUUAAUCGGAUUUACUGGGCGUAAAGCGUGCGUAGGCGGCUUUUAAGUCGGAUGUGAAAUCCCUGAGCUUAACUUAGGAAUUGCAUUCGAUACUGGGAAGCUAGAGUAUGGGAGAGGAUGGUAGAAUUCCAGGUGUAGCGGUGAAAUGCGUAGAGAUCUGGAGGAAUACCGAUGGCGAAGGCAGCCAUCUGGCCUAAUACUGACGCUGAGGUACGAAAGCAUGGGGAGCAAACAGGAUUAGAUACCCCAGUAGUCCCUGUCUCUUAUACA
rnacentral:rRNA from 1 species